rnacentral:rRNA from 1 species
GACGUAGGGCGCGAGCGUUGUCCGGAUUUAUUGGGCGUAAAGAGCUCGUAGGCGGUCUGUUGCGUCGGCUGUGAAAACCCGGGGCUCAACCCCGGGCCUGCAGCCGAUACGGGCAGACUAGAGUUCGGCAGGGGAGACUGGAAUUCCUGGUGUAGCGGUGAAAUGCGCAGAUAUCAGGAGGAACACCGGUGGCGAAGGCGGGUAGCUGGGCCGACACUGACGCUGAUGCGCGAAAGCCAGGGGAGCGAACGGG